AUAGUUCUUGGCCGCGGGUGUAUGUGGUAUGUUCCUCUCCCACCGGAAGAACUUCGAGGAUUGUGACUAAGCAAGAACAGAGAGCGCUAGGGUGUAUGCGGCAUGUUCCUCUCCCUAUCGGGGAUCUCGGCUGCGGGUGUAUGCGGCAUGUUCCUCUCCCACCGGGGGAUCCCUGACCACGGUGCGCGGACCUUCGUGCGGACCAUUGGGCAAUGUGGUUCUUGGCUUGCAGGCUGAGGUGCAUGUGACAGGUUCCUUCACCUCGAGCCCGGCAGAGCGCGGAUUAUCCGCAGUUGAUUGACUCGAGGCCGAGUCAGGUGGCUAGCUGGAAUAAGGUAGAUAGAAUCUUGAGGGCUAGUGGUAAAAGUGAUAAAUCUAAGGUAAUAGAGACCUUAGAAGCCAGUGGAACUGAGUUGUAAACCUAAGGUAGUAGAAACCUUAGUAUUGAAUGACAUGAGCUAAAGUUAGCAAGGUUGAAUGUAGAAUUAUUAAUUCUGCUAGUUGUUGCAUAUAUAUUCAUGUUACAUAUAGCAUGGCAUCGUUACAGUUGUGAGGCAAAGCAAGGUAAAGUUAGUUGCAUGUUUAAGACAUUAUAUCUAUCUGUUUAUUGGACUAACUUGUAUUUGCCUCCUUUGGACCUGUUGGUCGAGCUCUUCCCUUGGGUGGCCGUACCCACUGGGAACCAUGGAGUUGGUUCUCACCCCACGUUGUUUUGGGGUGUUACAGGUUCGCACGUGAGCGGCGCGGCGGCGCGAGGCAAGGGCGUAGCUCCGUAGAUAGCGCCCUACCAUCGAGACCGAGAUAGAGGUACCCCGAGCCGGCACAGCCUAGGGGUAGAGGGAGAUAAAAAGAACAAAAUGUAUUCAAACUUGUAAAUAAUGAUAUAGUAACUUAAUUGCAUUUGGAGGUUUAAUGUAAAAAU
rnacentral:lncRNA from 1 species